GGGCUCGUAGCUCAGCCCGGCUAGAGCGCCUGCUUUGCAAGCAGGAGGCCGCGUGUUCAAAUCACGCCGAGUCCA
rnacentral:tRNA from 2 species